AGAUCAUUAUUGAAACACCACUUCCAGUAUGAUCAUUGAAGUUAAGCAAUAUCAAGCCUGGUCAGUUCCUAGAUGGGUGACCGCUUGGGAAUACCAAAUGCUGUAUG